rnacentral:rRNA from 1 species
CAACCAGGGAUUGCCCCCAGUAACGGCGAGUGAAGCGGCAACAAGCUCAAAUUUGAAAUCUGGCCCCCCGGGGCCCCGAGUUGUAAUUUGCAGAGGAUGCUUUUGGCGCGGUGCCUUCCGAGUUCCCUGGAACGGGACGCCAUAGAGGGUGAGAGCCCCGUCUGGUCGGACGCCUAGCCUGUGUAAAGCUCCUUCGACGAGUCGAGUAGUUUGGGAAUGCUGCUCUAAAUGGGAGGUAUAUGUCUUCUAAAGCUAAAUACCGGCCAGAGACCGAUAGCGCACAAGUAGAGUGAUCGAAAGAUGAAAAGCACUUUGAAAAGAGGGUUAAAUAGUACGUGAAAUUGUUGAAAGGGAAGCGCUUGUGACCAGACUUGGGCCCGGUGGAUCAUCCAGCGUUCUCGCUGGUGCACUCCGCCGGGUUCAGGCCAGCAUCAGUUCGCCGCGGGGGAAAAAGGCUUCGGGAACGUGGCUCCUACGGGAGUGUUAUAGCCCGUUGCAUAAUACCCUGGGGCGGACUGAGGUUCGCGCUCCGCAAGGAUGCUGGCGUAAUGGUCAUCAGCGACCCGUCUUGAAACACGGACCAAGGAGUCGUCUUCGUAUGCGAGUGUUCGGGUGUAAAACCCCUACGCGUAAUGAAAGUGAACGCAGGUGAGAGCUUCGGCGCAUCAUCGACCGAUCCUGAUGUUCUCGGAUGGAUUUGAGUAAGAGCAUACGGGGCCGGACCCGAAAGAAGGUGAACUAUGCCUGUAUAGGGUGAAGCCAGAGGAAACUCUGGUGGAGGCUCGCAGCGGUUCUGACGUGCAAAUCGAUCGUCAAAUAUGG